GAUGAACGCUAGCUACAGGCUUAACACAUGCAAGUCGAGGGGCAUCGGGAGGGAAGCUUGCUUUCCUUGCCGGCGACCGGCGCACGGGUGAGUAACACGUAUGCAACCUGCCCUCUUCAGGGGGACAACCUUCCGAAAGGGAGGCUAAUCCCGCGUAUAUCGGUUUCGGGCAUCCGUUAUCGAGGAAAGAUUCAUCGGAAGAGGAUGGGCAUGCGGCGCAUUAGCUUGACGGCGGGGUAACGGCCCACCGUGGCGACGAUGCGUAGGGGUUCUGAGAGGAAGGUCCCCCACACUGGUACUGAGACACGGACCAG
rnacentral:rRNA from 1 species